CGCUGGCGGCAGGCCUAACACAUGCAAGUCNNNGCGGANACAGGCAAGGNAGCUUGCUACUUUCGCUGUCGAGCGGCGGACGGGUGAGUAAUGCCUAGAUAUCUGCCUAGUCGUGGGGGAUAACAGUUGGAAACGACUGCUAAUACCGCAUACGCCCUACGGGGGAAAGGAGGGGACCUUCGGGCCUUUCGCGAUUAGAUGAGUCUAGGUGGGAUUAGCUAGUAGGUGAGGUAAUGGCUCACCUAGGCGACGAUCCCUAGCUGGNCUGAGAGGAUGAUCAGCCACNCUGGANCUGAGACACGGUCCAGACUCCUACGGGAGGCAGCAGUGGGGAAUAUUGCACAAUGGGCGAAAGCCUGAUGCAGCCAUGCCGCGUGUGUGAAGAAGGCCUUCGGGUUGUAAAGCACUUUCAGCGAGGAGGAAAGGUUGGUGGUUAAUAACCAUUAGCUGUGGACGUUACUCGCAGAAGAAGCACCGGG
rnacentral:rRNA from 1 species